rnacentral:rRNA from 1 species
AAAGACUAACCUACCUUCGAGUGGGGAAUAACCUCGCGAAACCGGGGCUAAUACCGCAUAACAUCAUCGGGUGAAAUUCCUGCUGAUCAAAAGUUUUUUGCUUGAAGAGGGGGUCGCGGCUGAUUAGCUAGUUGGUGAGGUGACGGCUCACCAAGGCGAUGAUCAGUAGCCGGCCUGAGAGGGCGCACGGCCACACUGGAACUGAAACACGGUCCAGACUCCUACGGGAGGCAGCAGUGGGGAAUUUUGCGCAAUGGGGGAAACCCUGACGCAGCAACGCCGCGUGGAGGAUGAAGUCCCUUGGGACGUAAACUCCUUUCGACCGGGACGAAUAAUGACGGUACCGGAAGAAGAAGCCCCGGCUAACUUCGUGCCAGCAGCCGCGGUAAUACGAGGGGGGCAAGCGUUGUUCGGAAUUAUUGGGCAUAAAGGGCGCGUAAGCGGUGCCAUAAGUCACCUGUGAAAACUUCUGGGCUUAACUCAAUCUUGCAUCCAAAUCUUGUGGUGCUUGAGUGUGGGAAAAGUGCGUGGAAAUUCCCGGUGUAGCGUGAAAUGCGUAGAUAUCGGGAGGAACACCUGGUGGC